UACGUAGGGACCGAGCGUUGUCCGGAUUCAUUGGGCGUAAAGAGCUCGUAGGCGGCUGCUCAAGUCGAAUGUGAAAACUCGAGGCUCAACCUCGAGCCUGCAUUCGAUACUGGGCGGCUAGAGUCUGGUAGGGGGAUCUGGAAUUCCUGGUGUAGCGGUGGAAUGCGCAGAUAUCGGGAAGAACACCCGUGGCGAAGGCGGUUCUCUGGGACGGUACUGACGCUGAGACGCGAAAGCGUGGGGAGCGAACAGG
rnacentral:rRNA from 1 species